GCAGGCAGCAGGAAUGAGGGACAGAGAGUGGAUCCUCACCACAUUGCUGCUCUGCCCAGAGGAUGGAAGCAUCUUCCUCUCUUCCUUGGGCAGUGUGAGACAAGAAGAGGGAAGAACAGAGGGAGGAAGAUUACUUUUGGGUGUUCUAGAAAGAGAAGUCCUUCUUUAUGUACAGACACAGGAGAAAAGCUGCAGCUGCCAAACCGGGAAAAGCCCUCAACAGGCAAGUCUUUUGGCAGCUGAGAAGCAGGCAAGACGAAAUCAUCCAGUUCCUACUUUACCCUAUCAUUAG
rnacentral:lncRNA from 1 species